CAAGCCCUGGAAACGGGGUCUAAUACCGGAUACGACCAUUUGAGGCAUCUCAUGGUGGUGGAAAGCGUUAGUGGUGCAGGAUGAGCCCGCGGCCUAUCAGCUUGUUGGUGGGGUGAUGGCCUACCAAGGCGACGACGGGUAGCCGGCCUGAGAGGGCGACCGGCCACACUGGGACUGAGACACGGCCCAGACUCCUACGGGAGGCAGCAGUGGGGAAUAUUGCACAAUGGGCGGAAGCCUGAUGCAGCGACGCCGCGUGAGGGAUGACGGCCUUCGGGUUGUAAACCUCUUUCAGCAGGGAAGAAGCUUUAAAAGGUGACGGUACCUGCAGAAGAAGCACCGGCUAACUACGUGCCAGCAGCCGCGGUAAUACGUAGGGUGCGAGCGUUGUCCGGAAUUAUUGGGCGUAAAGAGCUCGUAGGCGGCGUGUCACGUCGGAUGUGAAAGCCCGGGGCUUAACCCCGGGUCUGCAUUCGAUACGGGCAGGCUAGAGUUCGGUAGGGGAGAUCGGAAUUCCUGGUGC
rnacentral:rRNA from 1 species